rnacentral:rRNA from 1 species
AGCGAACGCUGGCGGCGUGCUUAACACAUGCAAGUCGAAUGAAGGCUUCGGCCUUAGUGGCGGACGGGUGAGUAACGCGUGGGAAUCUACCUUACGGCGGGGAAUAACAGCGGGAAACUGCUGCUAAUACCGCAUACGCCCUACGGAGGAAAGGCUUCGGCCACCGUUUGAGGAUCCCGCGUCCGAUUAGCUAGUUGGUGAGGUAACGGCUCACCAAGGCGACGAUCGGUAGCUGGUCUGAGAGGAUGAUCAGCCACACUGGGACUGAGACACGGCCCAGACUCCUACGGGAGGCAGCAGUGGGGAAUAUUGGACAAUGGGGGAAACCCUGAUCCAGCGACGCCGCGUGAAUGAUGAGGGCCUUAGGGUUGUAAAGUUCUUUCGUCCGUGACGAUGAUGACAGUAGCGGAAGAAGAAGCUCCGGCUAACUUCGUGCCAGCAGCCGCAGUAA